rnacentral:rRNA from 1 species
UACGAAGGGUGCAAACGUUGCUCGGAAUUAUUGGGCGUAAAGCGCGCGUAGGCGGCUUGGCAAGUCGGAUGUGAAAUCCCUCGGCUCAACCAAGGAAGUGCAUCCGAAACUGCUGAGCUUGAGUACUUAAGAGGAUCGCGGAAUUCCCGGUGUAGAGGUGAAAUUCGUAGAUAUCCGGAGGAACACCAGCGGCGAAGGCGGCUUUCUGGUCCGAUACUGACGCUGAGGUGCGAAAGCGUGGGGAGCGAUCCGG